AGUGAACGCUGGCGGCGUGCCUAAUACAUGCAAGUCGAACGGAAUUUAAAAGAGCUUGCUCUUUUAAAUUUAGUGGCGCACGGGUGAGUAAUAUAUAGCUAAUCUGCCCCUUGCUGGAGGACAACAGUUAGAAAUGACUGCUAAUACUCCAUACUCCUUUUUACCAUAAGAUAAAUCGGGAAAGAAUUUCGGCAAGGGAUGAGACUAUAUCGUAUCAGCUAGUCGGUGGGGUAACGGCCUACCGAGGCUAUGACGCGUAACUGGUCUGAGAGGAUGAUCAGUCACAUUGGAACUGAGACACGGUCCAAACUCCUACGGGAGGCAGCAGUAGGGAAUAUUGCGCAAUGGGGGAAACCCUGACGCAGCAACGCCGCGUGGAGGAUGACACUUUUCGGAGCGUAAACUCCUUUUGUUAGGGAAGAAUAAGA
rnacentral:rRNA from 1 species